GAAAUUCGCCUGUAUGGAGCCGGAAUUGCUAGUAAUGGCAGGUCAGCAUACUGCCGUGAAUACGUUCCCGGGCCUUGUACACACCGCCCGUCACACCAUGAGAGUUGGGGAUACCCAAAGCCCGUGAGCCAACUAUAAAGAGGCAGCGGUCUAAGGUAGAAUCAAUGAUUGGGUGAAGUCGUAACAAGGUAUC
rnacentral:rRNA from 1 species